GACUUUGCAAUACUCUGAGCAACUCCCACGCAGCCAGGGGAUUUUCUCGGUGUCUGGGCUGGCAUGCCUUGAAAAUGUGUUUUUCAACUGUAACGAACCAUUAAUACUUCAUGGGCUCACAUGCAGUUUAAAUUGCUCCAGUGAGGACCUUGCAGAUUCAUCACAAUUCUGUGCUUGGUAAAAGGCACUGAGGGUUAGACUCCUAGCAGCAGCCUGUCUCCUGUUUGCAGCCAGUUAUCGGGAAAUAAAUGAUCACCACAUAUGGACAUGCAAAAGAAGAAAAUGCCUGGUCACUGGUAAGAAGAACAGCAGAAUGGCUGGGAAGGAAAAAGGAGGAGGAAGAGGGAAGGAGAAGAAGAGCAAGGAAUGACCAAAAGGAGAAUAGCUGCUAUUUGCCAGAGAAAGCUUAGCAGUGGGAAUUGGAAGUGUUUUAACUGCACUGAAAAUGAUCUGUUCCUACUUUCAGGGAGGGGAUUGCAAAGGCUGAGUGAGAAGAGAUCAGCCCAGGGCAAGCAGUGGGUGUGCUGUGCCUAGGUACAGGGAGCCCUGCUGGGUUUGGAGGCACAGUCCUUGUCUGCAGAGGGUGGCAAAGGGAAAAUGUCCUUUGGAGAACUCUGAGACCUCCAAAGCUUAGGUACAUGAACUCAUUUUCAAUGCAAGUACUGUUUGUUGUUAACCAUAAACAAAAGUAACUUGCUGUAGAAGUGCAGAUGUAUUUAUCAGGGAGCACAGGCAUCCAGAGGACAGCCCAGUCUGCAGAAAGGCUUGCCAAACUGAGGUAUUUUGUUUCUCAGCAAGACCUGGCAAUUUUCUUUGUCCUUAUGCUGUCCAUCCACAAAGCCUGGCCCCUUUCUCUUCUCUCAAGUUUCCCUCCAAGGAUUCAAAUGCUAACACCACUAGACAUAAGUUGGCUUUCUUCCUAGAAGGAGCUGGGCUAUUGGAAAGGGGGUUGCACAGUGGCAACAACUUGGUUCAGCACUGAGGCUGAGGACAACACUGCAAGCCUUUCCAAGCCCAAACAUCAGGGGCAAAAGGCAUUUAUCACUGAAUGUGAGGGGAAUCAUACAAAGAUGGUGAGCAAGCUCAGCCAUCACCCACUGCAGGGAGAUAAUGAAAACUCUGUAUCGGAAGUGAAUAAAUAGUUUACUCUUGCAACCUAAAGGUUAACUGAUUUCCAUCAAGGGCUCUGAAACCUGAUUUUUCAUUUUAUUUUUUGCUUUCAGAAGCAUAACAAAAAAGUCCCUUUGAUUUUGGAGCACUGGAGCCAUAGAGCUUUUUGAGAUUUCUCCAUUAUCAUGAAGAUGUGGAAGGUCCUUCUGGUUUCCAAGAAAAGCUGGGACUCUUGUACAACUGCUUCCCUCCAGAAUCUUGUGCCCUAUCUCCUGUCUUAAUUCCAGCCCCAGUCUGCAAGUACCUCAAGACUUUCAAUUAAAUCUGUUGUCAAUGUAAUUGCGAUCACUGACAACAUGGUGUCACUGGAAGAGUUCCUUUGCCCAUAGCUGAAGGAUUUGGGUGCCCUCUCUAUUUCACAUCUGCAGUGAUGUCCAGGGCAUAGUUUACCUGCUUCGUAAAAUAAUGUCUUAUUUGCACAGCAACCUCAGCUAUGGAAUGAAAAUAUCUUCUCUGGCCCAAAUUGUGAACUGUUAGAAAUCUGGCAGAACCCAUGGUGGAGGUGACUGCACCUCAGUGGUGGGAAGACUGAUAUUAAUUUUGUUCUGGCACUGUUCCCAUAAAUGAAACUUCUAUAAUAUUUCUCUUCGAGGUACAUAGGAGUUUUGCAUUCUGUGAGCCUUCAGGGUAAGGUCAUCCGUUUGUAAAACACUAAAAGAGUGACUGAGAUGAAUGCUAUAAUGAGGUUUGUUUGUCAAAGAUUUUUUCUGUCUUUAUGUUUGAUUUCCCUUGAAAUGAUGAGAGUUGACUUUUGCACCCAACACUUCAAUCUUUUUCAAAACUAGCUGUGCUCAGUAGGACUCACUUGUAGAAUUACAUCACUGAUGAGCAUUUUUGAUACAGUGCUUAUUCCACUGUGUAUUCCUAACAUAAUGAGUUAUAACUUUGCUGCUAAUUAGGUGUGCCACUGGCUGAAAUUUAAAAUCAAAAUCCUCUCCAAGGCUGUAGCUAACAUUCAGCAUCGUAAUGUCAUAAACAAGUGUAAGCAGCAGUUUGCUCUGUUCCUGCACCUGUGGGGACUUCUGCUUGCCACUCUAUGGGCCACUGUCUGAGCCAGAAUAGUUGUUUGUAUGGCCACAGAGGAAACUGGGAAAGGAAACUGAUGCAAGUGAAACAGAAAUCAGGAAACACAAAUGGUUAUUUUUUCAGCAGGAUCAGUUCCCUGACCUGGCUCAUCGCGCAGCCCUGUGAACAGCUGAGCUUACAUAGUGCAGAAGAUGGUGUAAGGAGGUUAAAGUGGCUAUGAGUAUCUCCACUGCUGCUUAGGGGAAACACAGCCUUAGUUACCUCUCUUGUGGUCCUAGGAUUUUAUAACUGAUAAUCUGUAUGCAAGGUCUUUUCCAAGGACAGAUCUUACAUUAAUGAAUUAACAGAGUACCAAAAGCAAGCAUUAGCGUAACUCGCUAUAUCUGAGCACAGUGUUCAGAAUGAUGUCCUGUUCUGGGCCCUCAAUGGCCUGCGACAGAAAAAGGUAAAUGAGAACCCUAUAGCAGCCACAUUCCUCUUUCUUCUAUGAAUAGAAGUUUCACUACCAAAGCUCUGAAGAACAGACACUCCUGUAGUGGUGGCACAAAAUAAUUUCACAGUUGCUGUAUAAGAUGGACUGUACACCUUGCAAGAUCUCAUAGGAAAACUAUUUAAUAUAAUUGAGUUUUUCUUGUCACCCUUGUUAUACAAUUCCACUGAGAAGCUGAGUUUUUACUGGAAUAAUACUACUAAAAAAAAAAAAAAAAAACAAAAACCAACCAAACAAAACAAAAAAAAACCCAAAGGAAAUUAAACCACAAACAACUAUAUUCAAAAAAAUACAAAGGGUCUGGCUCAUGCCCAAGAAAACAAGGAAAUUUAAAGAUAAAGAAAGCUGUCCUUAUUUCACCCCGUUGUGCCUGAGGACAGCUGGGGUUUCCAAAGCUGGCAGGCCGUACUGUGACCUGUUCCACUGAGGGUGAGCCCUUGCCGCAGACAAACCGGACUUUCUCUCUGGCUCCUUAAUGGGAAAGUCAUGUGGCACUACUGAAACCCAGGCUCUGACAUCUAAAAGCCCCCUUGGCCAUGUGUGUGGCUGGGAUGGAUUAGGGCUCCAGGCUUGCUGACAAGAUGUGGAGUAGCGGAAGAUGCAAGCAGGCUGUACUUCCCUUGGUUUGGCUGAGUGGCGCCCAGUUCCCUAGGACUUCUGCCUCAGACCGGUGGAUGGCCUGGUCCAGCCUGCCAAGCGUGAGUAUGGGCCACUGUCAGGAAAACCAACCCCAACCAACAGAGACACCUCUGCUCACAUCCGGCCUGAACAGGCUGGUGGUGCUUGGAGGGCAGACAGGGCAGUGGGGGGAUAAUUACUAAGAAAAAAAUUCCAAAAUAAAGUAAUCCACUUUGCAUGAUCAUUUGUUAAGCAAAUGCUUUCCAUGCUUAAUGCAUUUGCUGAUUUCGUUAUGACAUUUAGCAGCAUGGUCUGUGUUUGCUGUCCAUGCUUAUGGGCUUCUUCCAACCUUGUAACGUCUUGGAGGACCAAAUACACUCUUUCUAAUUUUUAUUCUUUUGUUAUUCUGGUUGUUUUACUAUUGCCACAAGCCUUCAGAGAAGCUAGUUCUUACAGUUUUGUCUCAUAACUCAUUAACUUUGCACUAUCUAUUUCAUUUAUUCCUGAAUCCUUUAAAUAUCAAAGGAUUUUCUCUACCAUCUUUCUGAGCUUAUGUGGUGAAUGUAUGUGCUUUCAUUCAAAAUAAAAUUAAAAGGCAUAGAUCUUGGAUGUGAAAAUGUGCCAAAGCACUGGGUAAAAAUCUGUUAUUUCCCCAUCUGUGACUUCUGCGUCUCGGAAAAUGCUCAUUGCAUUGUUUAUGUCUUAGCAGAGAAUAAAAUGCACAUAUGUCA